CGGAGGGUGCAAGCGUUAUCCGGAUUUACUGGGUUUAAAGGGUGCGUAGGUGGGCGAGAAAGUCAGUGGUGAAAUCUCCGGGCUUAACCCGGAACUGCCAUUGAUACUAUUUGUCUUGAAUACUUGGAGGUAAGCGGAAUAUGUCAUGUAGUGGUGAAAUGCUUAGAUAUGACAUAGAACACCAAUUGCGAAGGCAGCUUACUACACGUAAUUGACACUGAGGCACGAAAGCGUGGGGAUCAAACAGG
rnacentral:rRNA from 1 species